rnacentral:tRNA from 1 species
UCCGUAGUGGUCCAGUGGUUAGGACUCUGCACUUCCACUGCAGGGGUCCCGGGUUCAAUUCCUGGUCAGGGAU